AUCAAAGGUGUCAGGACCGAGGGGACUGUCUGAUUUAGUAAGAUGGGUCACUCAUGGCCAGGCCCAAAGGCCCCGCCUUCUGUUCUUAUCCUGCUCAAACCCAAGGGCCCCCUUGCUGUUACCGAGAAGGAGGUCCAGCAGUGGUACAAAGGCUUCAUCAAGGACUGCCCCAGUGGGCAGCUGGAUGCGGCAGGCUUCCAGAAGAUCUACAAGCAAUUCUUCCCAUUCGGAG
rnacentral:sRNA from 1 species